rnacentral:rRNA from 1 species
GAUGAACGCUGGCGGCGUGCCUAAUACAUGCAAGUCGAGCGAACAGACGAGGAUCUUGUUCCGCUGACGUUAGCGGCGGACGUGUGAGUAACACGAGGAUAACCUAUCUAGAAGACUGGCAUAACUUCGGGAAACCGGAACUAAAUCCUAAAAAGAUUGUCAUCCAUUUUUAUCAACAGCUAAGGACGGUCGUGCUGGCACUUAGAGAGGGUUGCUAGACGCAGUAGCUAGUUGGUAAGGUAACGGCUUACCAUGGCAAUGAUGCGUAGCCGACCUGAGAGGGUGAUCAGCCACACUACAACUGAACCACGGUACAGACUACUAUGCGAGGCAGCAGUGGGGUAUGUUCCGCAAAGCGCGAAAGCAUGACGGAGUCCAGCCGCGUCAGUUGAAAAGGUCCUCGGCUCGUAAAACUCUGUUACUAGGGAAGAACAAAUGUGUAAGUCACUAUGCACGUCUUGACGGUACCUAAUCAGAAAGCCCCGGCUAACUACGUG